UGUAAGCGUAUACCAAAGUUGUUGCAGUUAAAACGCUCGUAGUCGGAAUUUGGCAGUUCCGGAUGUGUGCACGUCGUGUGCGCACUUCGCGGGGAUUGCUUUUGUGGUCUUGCGUAGGAUGAGGCACUUUUAUUAGUGAACGUCCUCACGCAACCACUUUUUACUGUGAGAAAAUCAGAGUGCUCAAAGCAGGCAUUUGCCGUGAAUGUAUUAGCAUGGAAUAAUAGAAUAGGACUUGGUUCUAUUUUGUUGGUUUGUUGGGACUGAGUAAUGAUUAAGAGGGACAGUUGGGGGCUAUUGUAUUUCGGUGCUAGAGGUGAAAUUCUUAGAUUACCGAAAGACAAACUGCUGCGAAAGCGUCUGCCAAGGAUGUUUUCAUUGA
rnacentral:rRNA from 1 species